GGGCGCGGGCGCCGGCGCGGGGGGCCGGGAGGGGGGCGCACGGGUGCGCAGGGCGGGCGCGGGCCAGCUCGACCCGGAACGCGCGCCGCCGGGGCCAAGGAGGGGACGGGCCGAGAUGGUGGAGGAGAGAGCAGGAAAACGUGGGGGAGGUGCUGGCGAGAGAAAGAGAACUAGCGUGAGGAGGAGGAGGAGGAGGAGAAACCAAAUAUAAUAUUUGGCGUGGAAAUGGGAUUUGGGGUUUUAUCCCUGGCAUCUUCAAAUCAGGAAAAGUGCAAUUAAUCAACAUUUCCCCCCCGCCCCUCGACAAGUGAGGACUGCUUUCUCCCUGCGAUUCUGUCAAUGGUGUCCAGUUCUUGUUAUUCUUGGAGGGAGAGCAAAAGUCAGGCACAACCUAUGUCAUCAUCUUCGUGACAUCACUUCCCACCUCAUGUAUUUGAGGGAAGAAAGAAGUCUUUUGAUAAUCUUCUUAAGCACCUCAGAAAAGACCAUUUCCUCUCAGGGAAGACAGCAAGAAUGGGAGAUCAAGACAUGAAGAUGAAGAUCACAAGUAGGCAGAGAGAGAGGAGG